rnacentral:misc_RNA from 1 species
AGAGGAAGUAAAAGUCGUAACAAGGUUUCCGUAGGUGAACCUGCGGAAGGAUCAUUAGAGGUUCGGAAUAUAAAAUCUUUUGUAUUACAGAGUGCCGGAUGGAUGAUGACCUAUCUCGCUUGCGAGGCAGGCAUAUGAAACUAUAUGUAAUUGAAUAGUAUAUAUCGCAGAUUCUGCGCGUGUCGCCGACAAUCACGUUGUCGGCUUGACAACUUUUAAUAUUGUGUUAUGGAGAAUGAUCCAUUAAAGACUCAAUGUGGGGGAUCACUUAGUCCUUAAAGCGAUGAAAAACAUAAUAAUUUGUGGUAACUGAUGUGAGUUGUGAAAUCUGUGAGCAUUGUGUUUUUGAAUGAAUAUGUCAGUAUGGAUAUAAUUCUGUGCUACAGUUGUUUCAGCAUAUGAGGAGUACAUUACGUAGUUACUAUUGCUGGGAUGUAAUAGUAUGAGAUUUGUGAAUUUACAGGAAGCGUGUCAGAGAGGCUGAUUGUUGUGUAUCUGAAACAAGUGUGAUGACCCCCUGAAUUUAAGCAUAU